UACGAAGGUGGCAAGCGUUACUCGGAAUUACUAGGCGUAAAGGGCAGGUAGGUGGCCCGAUAAGUCUGUUGUGAAAGCUCCCGGCUUAACUGGGAGAGGUCAACAGAAACUAUCAGGCUUGAGUGUGGGAGAGGGUACUGGAACUCCCGGUGUAGCGGUGAAAUGCGCAGAGAUCGGGAGGAACACCGAUGGCGAAAGCAGGUACCUGGACCACUACUGACACUCAGCUGCGAAAGCUAGGGGAGCAAACAGG
rnacentral:rRNA from 1 species